rnacentral:rRNA from 1 species
AGCGAACGCUGGCGGCAGGCUUAACACAUGCAAGUCGAGCGGGCGUAGCAAUACGUCAGCGGCAGACGGGUGAGUAACGCGUGGGAACAUACCUUUUGGUUCGGAACAACACAGGGAAACCUGUGCUAAUACCGGAUAAGCCCUUACGGGGAAAGGAUUUAUCGCCGAAAGAUUGGCCCGCGUCUGAUUAGCUAGUUGGUGAGGUAAUGGCUCACCAAGGCGACGAUCAGUAGCNGGUCUGAGAGGAUGAUCAGCCACAUUGGGACUGAGACACGGCCCAAACUCCUACGGGAGGCAGCAGUGGGGAAUAUUGGACAAUGGGCGCAAGCCUGAUCCAGCCAUGCCGCGUGAGUGAUGAAGGCCCUAGGGUUGUAAAGCUCUUUUGUGCGGGAAGAUAAUGACGGUACCGCAAGAAUAAGCCCCCGGCUAA